CACACUGGAAUUUCCUGUAUUAGCACUGCACAGGAGUGGGUUUAUUUUGUAGUCCUUGAGAUUUCUGAGCUUCAUAAGUUUGACAGCCUUUAUGCACCACGAAACAAAGAUCUGGUUUCUAAUGAGGCAUUGCAGAAAGGAUGAGCAUCUGCUGACUUGUUGGUCUUCUGAAAACUGCCGCCCUCCAAGAUCAGAGGUGAACCAGUUUGGGAUCAUUUCACUGAAGACUGAGGUUUGGCUCUGGCUGCGGUUAGAAAAGACAUUGUUUGUCUGAAGAGACAGGGGUGUGGUGAAAAUACUCUGUGCCAGCCAAGUGAACCAAAACACUCUCUGAAUUACUACACAGGCUGGAAAAUAAAAUUUAACUGACAGAAGAUCUGGACCCAACCUGUGCUGAGAGACAGAGAGAAAAAGAAUACCAGGAAUUGCCAUGUACAGUUGAAGCAUCUGCACUAUGAAAUUCACCUUGAAUGAAUGGACACUCAGAUGUCUUCACUUCCACCAGAGAAGACACAACUCUCAGGCUGAAUUAGGCCAUUUGGAGAGGUUUACCAAAAUCUCCAUGGGUUACAGACACAAAACUCUUCUUUCACACUGGUCUGGACUGAGCACUUGUUGUAGAUGUUGGAAUUCAAUUUACCCAGAAGCUGGGGAGGACCUGAACUGCAUCCAGCCAUUCUGAAAGAGAGAAGAAGCAGCACAACUGCCCUCUAACAAAAAUGGUACAUUCAAGGGGAAGCUUCAGGAAUCAGGAGUAGCUGAAGUGAAACAAACUUCCCAUGAUCUACCUACCUUGAAGAACAGAACCACUCUGGUAGGAGUAAAUUAUUGAUAAUCACGUUAGCAGGACCCAUGAUGCUAUGAAAGACGACUGACUUCAGGCCUUUGAAAAAGAAAAUAGAAAUUUCCAAUUCUGUGGUUCAGAUUUUUCCUUUACAGGGAAAAGGAAACCAGGAGUGCUUUCUUUUUUCAGAACAUUGAAAACAAAACAAGCAAAAAGAGGGUAAGGAACAAAAAAGGAGAAAGAAAACUCCCUUCAG